UCAGUCGACAAAUAAUGACUGAGUGUCUUCUGUGUUCCAGGUUCUAUAGCGGGUUCUAGGGAUACAGCAGUAAAUAAAGCAGAGAAGGAGGGCCCGGCCUUCUUGGAGGUAUUCAGCAAAGAUCGAAGAAAAUAUGCCCUAUUGCCAAAUGCCCGCACGAUUCCUGUGAACAGAGCAUGACCUGGGGCACUUGUGGAGGAGGUGGAGGACAAGGUUAUGGACCACUGGUCUCAGCUUCAGGAAUCUUAAAAUCUCCAAGCUAUUGGUUCAAAGGAUACACAUGCACUCUCUCAGACUAAAAGUUUGCUAUUGGAGAGUAGCGCCAAUGGUGAUCACAGCAACCUGAUUACCUGGGAAGACACUCGGACAAUAACAGCACUCACAGCAGCUGUCACACUGAGUAAUGACUGUAUGCUAGCCUCCAUGCUCAGUGUUCCAGGUGUCUUACCAGUUAUUUUCAUGCUCCUAAGAGUCUUUCAAGAAAAGCACUGUGUAUUAUUAUCUCCUUUUUAUGGAUGAGGAAACUAAGGCUAGGGGAGAUUAAGUAAUUUGUCCAAGGAUAACUACAGAGCAAGGAGGCUUCGGUACUGGUUUGCCAAAUUUUGUGCCUCUUAACAGGGAUGGAAUCUGUCUGAAGGAGGCAGACACCAGGAAUACCAGGAGUAGCUAUUGCCUGGGAGGGCUGGAGCCUCCAGAGCCCCCAGAAGAUUCUUCUUCACCCCCUUGCAUCCAGUCUGAACAUCACAUGGAUGAGGAGACGGAGAAACUGAGGGCUCAGUGUGAAGUGCACUGCACAAAGCUACACUGCUGAGAAAGCUAUCGUUCAAGCCUUUAGUGCUCGUUCCCCUUCCUGACACUUUCCACUAGUGGCACAGGAGAGGGUCUGGCUUGGCAGAGCAGCUGGCAAAGGAGAAGGCGCAUGUUGAUAAUGCAGCCCAAGAGUGGAGACCUCUGGACCGAGUCAUCCACUGAAUAGCUGAUGGUGGAAGUGGACUGGGUUGGCAGAGUUCCAGGGCAUCUGUGGGAUGCAGCCAGUGGGUCUGUCCUCUUCUGCUUCUGGAAACGACACCACAGAUUUGGCACAGUUUGCCCAGAGCCCUUCACCAAGUGGUUCGGGUCCAUUCCUCCUGCUGCAAAUGAGUUUGCUUCCUUAGGAACAGAGGCAUUCUUGUCACCUAACCUGCAUCUAAUAAUAACCCUCCAUGUUCGUUGAGCAGAUGCUGCCCAAGCCCUUACCCAACCUCAGGCCCUGUGCCAGGAACGCAGGGUGAAAUAAGCCAGUCCAGACCUGCAAAGAAGCAAUGACACAGUGGCUUGAGGGUAGGCUUUGGCACCAGAUACGUCUGAGUGUGAGCCCCAGACCUGCCUCCUACAAGGUAUGUCAGUGUGGACAUGUUACAGAGCCUCUAGAAGCUCUGGAUUCUCUGUCGUGACACGGUUGUGAGGAUCAAACAAGAUGAUUAUGUCAAGGGCAUCAAUGCAGCACUUGGCACAGAGUAAACACUCAAUACAUACCAUCUGUUAUUAUUAUUAAAAAGCACUUUUACAUUUCA